rnacentral:rRNA from 1 species
AAUGAACGCUGGCGGCGUGCCUAACACAUGCAAGUCGGAUGUGCCGCAAGGUGCAUGGCAGACGGGUGAGUAACGCGUGGGGAACCUACCUUUUCGUGGGGAAUAACGAUCCGAAAGGAUUGGUAAUACCGCAUGAGACCGAUGGCUGGGAUGCUGUCGGUGAAAGCCGGGGAUCGAAAGACCUGGCGCGAGAAGAGGGUCCUGCGUCUGAUUAGCUAGUUGGUGGGGUAAUGGCCUACCAAGGCGACGAUCAGUAGCCGGCCUGAGAGGGUGAUCGGCCACACUGGAACUGAGACACGGUCCAGACUCCUACGGGAGGCAGCAGUGGGGAAUUUUGCGCAAUGGGCGAAAGCCUGACGCAGCAACGCCGCGUGGGUGAUGAAGGUCUUCGGAUUGUAAAACCCUGUCGUCGGGGACGAAGGUGGGGGCGUUAAUAGCGCCUUUGCUUGACGGUACCCGGAGAGGAAGCCCCGGCUAACUCUGUGCCAGCCGCCGCCGUAAGAC